UGUGGGAGCGAGCCUGCUCGCGAAAGCGUCGGGUCAGCCACAUCAUCUUUAACUGACACACCGCAUUCGCGAGCAGGCUCGCUCCCACA
rnacentral:misc_RNA from 1 species